UACGUAGGGUGCAAGCGUUGCCCGGAUUCAUUGGGCGUAAAGAGUUCGUAGGCGGUUUGUUAAGUCUGAUGUUAAAGAUCGGGGCCCAACCCUGGGAGUGCAUUUGAUACUGGCAGACUGGAGUGCAGUAGAGGCAAGUGGAAUUCCCAGUGUAGCGGUGAAAUGCGUAGAUAUUGGGAAGAACACCGGUGGCGCAGGCGACUUGCUGGGCUGUAACUGACGCUGAGGAACGAAAGCUAGGGGAGCAAAUGGG
rnacentral:rRNA from 1 species